rnacentral:tRNA from 1 species
UGUGUUGUAACUCAGUGGUGAAGUGUGUGCUUAGAAUGUACAAGACCCUGGGUUCAAUUCCCAGCACCACUA